AGUGAACGCUGGCGGUAGGCCUAACACAUGCAAGUCGAACGGCAGCACGGUAAGAGCUUGCUCUUACGGUUGGCGAGUGGCGGACGGGUGAGGAAUACAUCGGAAUCUACUUUUUCGUGGGGGAUAACGUAGGGAAACUUACGCUAAUACCGCAUACGACCUACGGGUGAAAGCAGGGGAUCUUCGGACCUUGCGCGAUUGAAUGAGCCGAUGUCGGAUUAGCUAGUUGGCGGGGUAAAGGCCCACCAAGGCGACGAUCCGUAGCUGGUCUGAGAGGAUGAUCAGCCACACUGGAACUGAGACACGGUCCAGACUCCUACGGGAGGCAGCAGUGGGGAAUAUUGGACAAUGGGCGCAAGCCUGAUCCAGCCAUACCGCGUGGGUGAAGAAGGCCUUCGGGUUGUAAAGCCCUUUUGUUGGGAAAGAAAAGCAGCAGGUUAAUACCCCGCUGUUCUGACGGUACCCAAAGAAUAAGCACCGGCUAACUUCGUG
rnacentral:rRNA from 1 species